UCUAAAUAAUAAUAAGAAUAAUAAUAAUAUGAUUGCAUGGCAAUAGCGUUUAGUGAUUUCUGUUCAUGUUUACACACAUUGUGCUUGCCCAAGAAGACCAAAUCAUGUUCCUUUAACCAGAAUAUUUUGUGUUCCCAAGCCAUGUUAGAACUUUUUAGCACCUCUCGUUUUGGGAUUCUGAAAGCUGAAAAAUUUGACAUGGCUUAUGAGACGGCCAGGGAUUUUUUAGCUGCGAUUCCUGAAUCACAUGGACUUGGGCUAGAUACAGGGCCGGUCCACCCAUGAGGCAAGGCGAGGUGACUGCCUCGGGUGGCAGAAUCCACAGGGGCAGAAGGAAUUCAUCACCUGCUGCCGGAGCCGCAGGCAGUGGCAUAGCAAAGUCAGGUGGUACCCAGAUCGGGGGGAAAAAUUGUCACCCCACCCCAUUGAAAUUCCCCCUUCCUCCCUUCAUCAGAGAAAGCCUUGCAGGCAGCUAUCUGAUGUAGUUCCAGCCUUCUCCCCCUCCCUCCCUCCAUCAGAUAGCUGCCUGCACAGCUUUCUUUGAGUGGGGGUGGGUGGAAGGAGGAACGGGGAGAAGGCCUUUUUGUCUGGGCAGGCCUACCCCAUAUACAUAGAAUGUUGGCCUCUGUUUUAUUCAGUGUUUAGCUUAUUGUUGUUUUUGUUUUGUUUUUAUAGUUUUUAUUUUAAUCAGUACAAACACCAAACUAAAAAGACAAACAAACAAACCUUAGCUUAUUGUUGAUUUUAAUUAUUUCCCAAAGAUUUUAAACAGCUGCUUUAAAUUGUUCUUAUCGUGAAUUUUGUAGUUUCAUUCUUUUCGCAUGCCACUUUGGAUUUUUAAUUUUUUUAAAAAACAAUUACAAUCCGGUGGUAUGUAAAUUUUAUGGACUAAAUAAAUAAAUGACCUAUCAGUCAAUGGAAUUGCCAGCGGCGUUUGAUCUUCAGUGAUUCAUUCGCACAUGCCAGUCGCCACCAAAGGGACCUGUUUCCCCAAAUCCUCCCUUUUAAGCCAUCUAAUAUUUCCUGUUCUUCAUCCUUUCAGUUUUGCGCCAGAGAUGUGGGACUGAACCCAUUUGGUGGGCUGGAUUCUUAUCUCCCCACCACCACCACCAACCUGGGCAGAUGGGCGGGGCCACACACCUGCCAAUCACCUGACGUCACAAUGCCGCCAGGUGACCUAGGUCUCCCUGCGCUGCUGAUCAGCUGACUUUUGGGUCUGCUGGAGUGCCAGGAGCUUCUCUCCCCUCCCAAAUCCAGACGCAAAGAGUCGUGCGGCGCCUCGGAGCGCCUCGAGAGCGAUGCAGUGCUUCUGGCUGCUGGCACUAGUGGUGGCCUUGGUGCUGAGAGGGGGUGCUGCCCCAACAGAAGACACACAUUCAACAGGGGCAGGCGAUGGAGGCCCCAAGCAUGCAGCCAAGCAUGAGGUACAGGAAGGGAAUGUGAUCCACGGCAUGUGCUAUGUGGCCAGGUGCAUCAAAGGCCACUGGCACGUCAGACGGAUGUCCGGGUGCAGGACCAGCUUGAGCCAUGGCCAUGGCCUCCAUCCGCCGAGAGGUGCCUGCAACCAUCCUGCCAGCUAGCGAGGCGUUCUCUGUAGCCUCUCUUCUCGCCCCCAAACCAGCCUUCUAAGACGCGCACAGACUGGUCCGGGAAAUGCAAACGAGGGCAGCCAAUCUUGGCGCAAAGGCGCAGCAACGCCAGGGGGUUGCCUCUCCCAUCUCUUGGAGAGGUUCGCCACGACGCUUCCUUUUAAAACUUGCCAAGCACACUUUGCACAGAUGCUCCCUUCCACUGAUCAGACUAUCAGUCCACGAAGUGCAAUGCUUUCUACACGGACAGGCGGUUUCUCGGAGGGCUGGAGAGAGCCCAGCAUUAGACCCGCCCAGGAUUAAGCAUCUUCCAGCUUCGGCUACGAAGGGACUUGCCCGCUGCCAAUACCCACCAGCUCUUUCCCCCAGCAACAGAAAGAGCACGAGCUACACUAUUCCACAUUUUUUGUUCAUUUUUGCCUAGGUACUUUUGUUCUGUGUCUGCUUAGGUUUCGUUUAGACGUACGUGUGCCUUGUUACUUCUCUGCAUUAAUAAACCCUCACCCGUAAGAGUGCUUACUGCUUUCGGAUCUGUAAAAGAACUAGACAAAAAACACCUGUGCAGGACAAACAGCAAAGAUUCUGGGUACCCAAAGAUGCUGGGUUGGUUCAGCCUUCCUACUGACGUGGGAUUUCUUUCGGGAGGUCAGAGUAACAUACACAAGAACGUGGAGCGCCACAAAAACUGGUGAGAAACAGCUUAGCAGGAACCGAGUAGCUGAAAGAACUCCAGGUAAGGUGCAAGGAGGGCUCUUCACAUACAGUAAGAAAAUAGGAUUAAGGGUUUUCAAGGGCUGAUGGCUGCCUGAGAGAUGGUGUCAAGUACGGGAGUUCCCCUCUCUGUUCUGAUAGUUCACCGAUAAGAAUUAACGAGCAUCUGGUAGAUUUAUAGUCCUUUUAUUACAGCAUUAUGUCAACCCUCUGCAAGAAUAUUCUUGCUUCUUCCACAGCAAGAAGCAUGCCUACGGGAAGUCCCUCCCCCCCCCCCUGUGUCUCCUUUGUUCUCUGACACACUCGGACCUCCAAGUUUGGGGGGGAGGGAGGGGGUUCCCCCCUACU